UACCAGCACCCCGAGUGGUCGGGACGUUUAUUGGGCGUAAAGAGCUCGUAGGCGGCUCAGUAAGUCAGGUGUGAAAACUCCAGGCUCAACCUGGAGACGCCACCUGAUACUGCUGUGGCUAGAGUCCGGUAGGGGAGCAUGGAAUUCCUGGUGUAGCGGUGAAAUGCGCAGAUAUCAGGAGGAACACCAGUGGCGAAGGCGGUGCUCUGGGCCGGAACUGACGCUGAGGAGCGAAAGCGUGGGGAGCAAACAGG
rnacentral:rRNA from 1 species